GUCAAGUAAUCGUUGACAUCAGUGUGGUUUUGUUAAAAAAUGGAGGAAGUCGAGAGUUUUAAAAAAAGAAGCGGAACCACGGAUAGGGGUAAGGAGUAUGAGGAUGUGGUUCUCGCUUUUGUUAUCCUAGAACUAGUAAAAGACGCCACAACAAAAAACUUUCAUGUUUCGUCGAAUGAAGAAGGGUUCGGAGCUUUUGAUGACAUAGUUAUUAAAACUGAGUCGGAUAAGGGAAACGAAAUAAAAGCAGUACAGCUAAAACACACCGAAAAUAGAAUAUUGUCCACAAAAAAUUUGAUGUCAAAAACAGGAGACUUCAGCAUUGUCAAAUAUUUCAAGACCUUCCAGGAAAUUAAGAAAGACGCAUGCGAACUAAUAUUAUUUACUAACAGACCAUUUAAGUGUGACGAAAAUACAUCAUUUCACCUAGAAGAAGAAGAAUUUUCUAUAAUUCCUGUUAAAGUAAAAGCUGCUUCGGAACUUGCAGAGAUAGAUUGUGCGUAUCAGUUUAAGAUAAUAGAAGAAGACUGGAAUGCUGAAGUGCUUCUCAAAAUUCGAGAAUAUCAGAGGUUUUUUAGUAAAUUUUAUCUGUAUACCGAUCAAAAUAAUGUUGACACCCUAAAAACCAGUGUGGCUGAAAACUUCAAAUCAACGUAUUAUUCGAAUCAGGAUAUAUUCGAAAAAUUUUUCAAGAUACUAUCUGAGUGGAAUAUCCAAAAAGGUAACAAAGAAAAGUUAAAUAGGAAGUGGAUGGAACGUGUAAUUGCUCUACUGCUUCUAUCUUCCCAUAUUGAGCCCCUAUCUUUUGGCUCAGAUAAUGUCAAUUCCGGUAAUGAUAAAGUGAAAAUACUUCGAGAAGCCGUUUCCCUCUUCGACAUUACACUACUUGAAAAAGAAUCGUACGAAAAGCUUAAUUCAAUGUGGUACGACAUUAAAAAACAAAACAACUUUGACUUUAUAGAAUUAAAUAAAGUAAGGAAAAAGUACUUCCCAGCAAUCAACUAUAUUGAUCAUAAAAACAUCGACAAAAUAGAUCCAAGGAUAUUUAUUCAACUAUUAUGGUUAACAGACAAGUGUCCAUUAAUAAUACGUCAACAUGAGAACGUCGAAAAGGCCAUCCAGCUCUGUCCCGAUAAAAAGUUCAUCCUAAUUGGCGAAGGCAAGAAAGAGGAGUGGAUGAAAAUCUAUUCCGUGUUCCAAAAUCUAUCAAACUUGAUUUGGAAACCUGAUUUAUGCGAAAGAAUCAUGCAAAAUUUUACCAUAUCGAUCCAAGGAAAGGGAGAAAUUAAUCUUGCAACAGCUUUUGGAAAUAGCGAUGAAUUCUUAGAAAGUGUCACAACGGAUAACUUAGUGGAAAUGCUAGACGGUCCGUGUUAUAUAGGCGGAGAAAAAGAGAUUCUUCCUGAACCUUAUAUUGAGCGGAGUCUUUCCCGAAAUAUUAUUAACAUUAAAUACCUAGAAAAAUUUUGGGAAAACACAAUUAUUAUUUUAAAUUGCGCCGAUAAUUUUGAUAAAGUUAAAGACAAACUCAAGCAGUCUAAAUUAAUUGAUAUCAGUUACUUCUUAGAGAUAACAAAUCAGAAUUUUGAAAAUCAAAGAAAUGAAUUUUAUGUGGCUAAAUCUAAUCCAACUCAGUUUAAACACAAAUUUAAUCCGGAUAAAUCAAAUUUUACCAAUACAGUUUAUACAAGUAAUAGAAAUGUUAGUGAUUUAGAACUAGAACAAAUUUACGAUGAAAAUAGAGAAGCCAAACAAAUUCACUAUUUUAAACUCUCCGAAGAUUGUAAUUUAGAAUGGAUUAAAAGCAGAGGCGAUGUUGGUGAUUUAGAGGUUUAUAAGUUAUAUGACAAAUACUGUACGAACGAAAAUGAACUAUGGUGUUCUCGGUUAGAUAAUAACAUCAAUCUAAUAUGUGGCGAUCCCGGCAUGGGGAAAUCCGAGUUAAUGAAAAGCUGCAAAAAUAAAUGUUCACCGCAAUAUUGGACAAUUAUAAUUAAUCCUACCGAUGUGCACUCAUUUUUUUACAAUCCUAAGUUUUCUAAAACAACUAAAUAUACAGAUUUAUUUGAAAAAUUUAUCGUAAAUGAAAAAUGUCGGUCGCUCAAAAAAUUCGAACGAAGAUUUUUCGAAAUGUGUGUACAGAAAAAUAAUGUUGUUUACGUGUGGGAUGCGCUCGAUGAAAUUAUAGGAGAACACUUAGAAGCCGUGUAUCAAAUAAUACUUGGAUUCUCAACAAAAGGUUUCCUUCAGUGGGUUACCAGUAGAAGACAUUUAAAACCAUUUCUGGAAAAAAAAUUCAAUGUGUUGGCACAUAGUAUAAAUCAGUUUGACGAACAAGAACAACAAAAUUAUGUAAGAAAACGUUUAGCUUCUUUCAUUUCUGUAGACGAAAUUGAGAUCACGAUCGAAAAAAUUAAAUCAUCGUUCGCGAUUAUCGAACACGUUAAUAUAUUGGGAAUUCCGCUCCAAAUCUUCAUGGUUACUGAACUAUUUCGUCAAAACAAAGACAAAUAUUUGAAACUAAUGGAAAAUAUAUUUCUCUUGACUGAUUUAUACGAAUACUUCAUUGAUGAAAAAUUUAAUAAUUUUUUCAAAGAUAAAUUGGCGUUUGAUUUUAAAAAUCCUCACAUGGUUAGUAGAAUUCGCGAAGAAAAAAAGGAGAUUUUAGGUAAUUACGAGAGAGUGGCACUUAAAUUAAUAUUUUCGGAAGACAUUCUGAAACGAUUAAAUGUCGUCUGUGAAAAACAUAAAGAAAAAAAUUCACAAAAAUGUGUGUCUGUUGGUCUUGUAAGUGAAUUCCAAAAUGAUGUGGCACAUUUUAUUCAUGGUUCUUUUGCUGAAUACUUAGUCGCGAUAUAUUUUUCAAAAAAUUUAAAUACCUUGCGUGAUACACUUGGGGACUUAAUAUUCAACGCAAAGUAUAAUAAUGUUCGUUUUUUUUUCGACAUGUUGUUAGUCAAAAAUUGUAAAGUUCACAUUGCUGUCUUGUAUAAGAAAUAUGAACUACUUAAAACUUAUGAUGAAGAAACUUUAACAUGCAAAGAUAAAGGUGGUAGAAGUGCUUUACAUCUGAUUUCUUCAUGGGGACAAAGACAUCCGCGUGUAAAAGUAACGGUUGAAAAUGGGAAGUGUGUUGUGCAUGAAGACAGCAAUUUCGAUAAACAAGCAGAAACCGAGACGUAUUUUGAAACGGUAAUAUUUUUGCAGAGCAAGAAUGAUGUUGAAGAACACGAUAGUUUGCUAGAUACGACGCCCUUGUCCUAUGCCAGAAAAAGUGAGAGUUUAGGUGCGGAAAUAAUAUUACUUCAAGCAAAAAAAAAUGAACUGUAUCGUCACUCAAGUUCUCUUAACGAUAUAAUUAAUAUUUUAUAUUAUUCUUCUUUACUUGGAUAUGAUCAAGUGUGUGAGCUUUUCACCGUCCAAGAGGAGAAAAGCAGGAAAAAUCGCUGGUAUGAAACCAAAUUUGUUACUGCCGGAAAUGCUGAAACACCUCUAUUAUUAGCGAGUAGAAGUGGUCACCUGAAAAUUGUUAAAUACUUGUUACAUUUAAAUGACGAAAUUAACAAAUCCAACAAAGUUUGUGAAACCGAAAGCAGCCACAAAAAUACUUUAGAAUAUGUUCUGAACGUCGGUGAAGAAAUCAAUCACAGCACCGUUGACAGCUCUUUCGAUUGCUUAGCGGAGGCAUGCGCUGAAAUUAAUUGUUGUAAUAAACAUGGGGCGACACCACUUUUCGUAUCUUCUGAAAUGGGUCACGAAAAAGUUGUCGAAUAUUUGGCGACAGUCGGCGCUGAAAUCAAUCGCGCUAGGAUUGACGGUCUGACACCACUUCACAUUGCUUCCUUCAACGGUCACGCAAAAGUUGUCGAAUACUUGGCGACAGUCGGUGCCGAAAUCAAUCGCGCUACGAAUGACGGCUGUACACCUCUCCUCAUGGCUUCACAAAACGGUUACGAAAAAAUUGUCGAAUACUUGGCAACAGUCGGCGCUGAAAUCAAUCGCGCUAAUGAAAACAACGUGACUCCACUUCACAUAGCUUCCUUCAACGGUCACGAAAAAGUUGUCGAAUACUUGGCGACAGUGGGCGCCGAAAUCAAUCGCGCUAAUGAAGACAAUGUGACACCACUUCACAUAGCUUCAUACAACGGUCACGAAAAAGUUGUCGAAUACUUGGCGACAGUCGGCGCCGAAAUCAAUCGCGCUACGAAUGACGGUAUGACACCACUUUACGUAGCUUCAAAAGAGGGUCACGAAAAAAUUGUCGAAAUCUUGGCGACAGUCGGCGCUGAAAUCAAUCGCGCUUUGGAAAACGGUGUGACACCACUUCACGUAGCUUCCUUCCAUGGUCACGAGAAAGUUGUCAAAUACUUGGCAACAGUCGGCGCCGAAAUCAAUCGCGCUACGAAUAACGGUAUGACACCACUUUACAUGGCUUCAGAAAAGGGUCACGAGAAAGUUGUCGAAUACUUGGCGAUCGUCGGCGCCGAAAUCAAUCGCGUUACGAAUGAGGGUGCGACACCACUUUACGUAGCUUCACAAAGGGGUCACGAAAAAAUUGUCGAAUGCUUGACGACAGUCGGCGCCGAAAUCAAUCGCGCUACGAAUGACGGUGCGACACCACUUUACACAGCUUCACAAAGGGGUCACGAAAAAGUUGUCGAAUUCUUGGCGACAGUCGGCGUAGAAGUCAAUCGCGCCACUGAAAACGGUGUCACACCACUUCACAUAGCUUCCCUCAACGGUCACGCCACAGUUGUUGAAUUAUUGGCGACCGUCGGCGCCGAAAUCAAUUGCGUUACGAAUGAGGGUGCGACACCACUUUACGUAGCUUCACAAAGGGGUCACGAAAAAGUUGUCGAAUACUUGGCGACGGUCGGCGCACGAAUCAAUCGCGCUACUAAAGAGGGUGCGACCCCACUUUACAUAGCUUCCCUAAAUGGCCAUGAAAUGGUUGUUGAAUAUUUGGCGACAGUCGGUGCCGAAAUCAAUUGCACAAUGAACGACGGCUCGACACCACUGUAUAUAGCUUCCCAAAUGGGCCACGAAAAAGUGGUUGAGUACUUGGCGACAGUCGGCGCGGAAAUCAAUCGCGUUACUGAAGAGGGUGCGACACCACUUUACAUAGCUUCCCAAAUGGGCCAUGAAAAAGUUGUCGAUUACUUGGCGAUAGCUGGCGCUGAAAUUAAUGGCACUGUAAAUGACUCUUCGACACCACUUCACAUUGCUUCACAAAACGGCCACAGAAAAGUUGUUGAAUACCUGGUGUCUGUCGGCGCCGAAAUCAAUUGCGCUACGAAUGACGGUGUGACACCACUUUACAUAGCUUCCCAAAUGGGCCACGAAAUAAUUGUCGAUUACUUGGUGACAAUCGGCGCCGAUAUCAAUAGCGCUACUAAAAUGGGUGGUACACCGCUUUUCAUAGCUCUCCUAAUGGGCCACGAAAAUGUUGUCCACUACUUGGCGACAGCCGGCGCCGAAAUAUCAAUGACGGUUCAACAUAUAGCUUACGACAAGGACCACGAAAAAUUUGUCGCGGAGUUAGAAGAACCCGGUCCUUCUUGAAGGAAUCCUAGAGUCGAGAACUUUUUCAAACGGUUUCGUUGUAGUUUAAUAUAGCGGAAAUAUAUACCAUUUUUUUCACAUCUGUUAACAAUGCAUAGAGUUUUACUAAGUAUGUAAAUGUCGGUUAUUUUUCAGAGUAUACAGGGUGAUUUCGAAAAAUAUGCAAUAAUUAUAACCAGGUCUUCACGUACCGUAAUAAUGUGGAAAUAUAGUGAAGACAAAUUGAAAGUCGAAUGGGACAAAAUCUCAACUUCCUCUUUCGUUGAGUCUUCAAUUUCGUUUCCUGCUAUUCUAGGGCAAGUCUUCUUGGCAGAAUUUUCCUUGUUGCUUCUUUUAUGGUAUUUGUUAAAUUGUUCCACUUUUCAACUAGCGAUUUUGCGUUAGGCGCUACUUCGUUUCUAUAGGCCUCACGAAUAUACUUUUGAUAGUUCUGCAUCAUCUCGAGGUUUUUUAAUUCGUCUAUACUGGAUUUAGGAUCUUGUUUCUGUUUUACUUUGUUUUCUUGCUUGAAACAAUCUUUCCGUUUUAUUCCUACUAGAAAAUUAUCUGAAUCUAUUUCGGCACUUCUGGAAGUUUUAACU